AGAAAAAUUAGGGACAUUUCAGGUGUGACUUUUGUGUCACAUAUGUGUCAGUAGGUGUCCAAGGGGAGAGAGGCUGGCUGUGUUUAUGCUUAGUGAUCUUACAUACAAACAUCUGAAUGGAUAGCCCAGCAUU
ensembl:snoRNA Gm25378 small nucleolar RNA SNORA17